UACAGAGGUCCCAAGCGUUUGUUCGGAUUCACUGGGCGUAAAGGGUGCGUAGGUGGCCAGGUAAGUUUGGUGUGAAAGCUCGGAGCUUAACUCCGAAAAGUCAUUGAAUACUAUCUGGCUGGAGGGUCGGAGGGGAGACUGGAAUUCUCGGUGUAGCAGUGAAAUGCGUAGAUAUCGAGAGGAACACCAGUGGCGAAGGCGAGUCUCUGGGCGACUCCUGACACUGAGGCACGAAAGCUAGGGGAGCAAACAGG
rnacentral:rRNA from 1 species